rnacentral:misc_RNA from 1 species
AACAGUGGUCUCUCGCGUCCUUUAUAUUUCUAUAUCGAAAUAUUGUUCUCGACAUAUCGUUGAUCGCUUUCCGCUCUUAUAAUCCAAAAUUUAAAUCUUUAGUUCUUUCAGUGAAAAAAUUUCAUUUUUAAACUUUUCGAUCUUGUGUUCUUUUUUCUUUUCUACAAUAAUUCAUGAUUUUGGGCAUGUUUCUCUGGAGACGUUUUCGUUUCCAAUAUGUAUAGGUUACAAAUGACUAAUUGGAUGGAUGGAACAAUCACGUACUUACGAACAGGCAAACAAAAAAGUUCAAAGCAAAUAGAAAGUUCGGUUUCGUAAAGCGUGAUUUAGUAUCCCAAAGAGAAAAGUAUAUCAACAGUGGCGGAGGAAAUUUGAAAUCUUUUGUAUGUGACACAAGAUCAGACUCGGAUCUGCAUGCGUCUAACCUCUCGCAUUUUCGAUAACAUUUUCUAGUUAUUCAGACACACCAGUUAUGACGAUAUAAACCACUUUAUAACCUAUUCUCCGUAUUAGAUAAAUUAUAUAUGAGCAUGUGUGUAAGAUGGUACUAUAAAUUUUCCUACUUUCGUGUAGUGUAUGAAUAGUCCUCGAAUAGUAGCUCAAACUUUGAUAAGGGAUGGCGGAGGAAGAAGAAGAAAAGGAAUAUCGCUGGGAGACUGGUUAUGAGAAAACUUGGGAAGCGAUCAAAGAAGACGAUCAUGGAUUAUUGGAGCCAUCUGUGGCAGAUAUUAUUCUUAGUGCCAAGAGAAAGCGUCAGUUGGAAAGAAAACAAGGUGCCAGAUUAGGGAUGAUGAGACAUCUUUAUAUCAUCUUAGAUGCUUCUGAAUCAAUGUCAAAUCAAGAUUUGAAACCAACUCGUUUCUUGUGUUCCCUGAAGCUUCUAGAAAAUUUUAUUGAAGAAUUCUUCUAUCAAAACCCUAUAAGUCAGUUAGGUGUAAUCACUACUAGAAAUAAAAGAGCUGAGAAAAUUAGUGACUUGGCUGGUAAUUCAAAGAAGCAUAUCAAGGAAUUACAAUCAUUGCAGCAAACAAUGGUAACUGGUGAACCAUCUCUACAGAAUUCCUUAGAACUGGCUCUGAAGUCAUUACGAUUAUUACCAUCGCAUGCUAGUAAAGAGAUAUUGAUAAUUAUAGGAGCUCUUACCACUUGUGAUCCUGGAGACAUCAAUGAGACGAUACAAAACAUGAAGUCAGAUGGCAUUAGAUGUAGCGUCAUAGGAUUAGCUGCCGAAUUGUAUAUCUGUAAGCGAAUGGCAAAUGCCACUGGUGGCGAGCAUGGGGUAGCACUCGAUGAUAAACAUUACAAAGAGCAAUUAAAUUCGCAUAUAGACCCUCCACCCGCUGCAACGCGAUUAGAUGCCGCGCUUGUAAAAAUGGGAUUUCCUCAUCACGCUUUGCAUUCCACUGUGACAGACACACCUAUGACAGUGUGUAUGUGUCAUGCGGAAAGUUCUGAUGAAUUGUUCAAACUUAUGAGCACAGGUUACCUAUGUCCCCAGUGUCUCAGUAAACAUUGCGAACUUCCCGUAGAAUGUAGAUCUUGCGGUCUCACUUUGGUAUCGGCUCCGCAUUUGGCACGCUCGUAUCACUAUCUGUUUCCAGUUGCAACUUUUACAGAAAUUGAAUUUGAAAACAAUCACUCGUCGUGUUUUGGUUGCCAGAAAGUUUUUACUCAAAAGGACAAAAAGAUAUAUAUCUGUGAAAAGUGUGAUCAACCAUUUUGCUUGGAUUGUGAGAUAUUUAUUCACGAAUCUUUACACACAUGUCCUGGCUGCGCAACAAAUCCCGAGACAUAUAAAAAAUCGGUGGAUAAAUCGUAAAAUAUACCCUUCGACGAAAAAUUAUUACAUACACAUGUAAUAUUCUCUGGAGCAAUUAUCACGAUAGUGAAUACCGAGAGGUCACGAGUAUAAGUAUCGUGUUACACAGUUGCAUGUAAAAAAAAAAAUUACAGUUUUACAACUUUCAUUACAACCUAGCCAAAUCUAUCUUGUAAUAUAAAUGUACAAAUCACUCGUAUAUCUGGAAUAUAUCGGGUAUAUGGAACUUAUACAAAUGCAUAUUUAUAUACAUACAUAUUUACAGUAAAUAAAAUAUAAAAUGUCGAAAUAAUGUCUACUUGCACGCUCUAUCUGCUUGCGACUUUACAGCAAUGUCAAUGGCUAAUUUGGCUUAUUCGCACUGAUAAUUCAGGUGAUAUAGUGUAUACGAUAAGAGAAAGAGGAAAAUCCUGUUGCGAUCUCGAUAACGUGGCUAUGAUGAGAAGCAGCACAUUCACAAAUGUAUCUUGUGUAAGAGAGGUGCAACGCGAGAUACAUCUUUGAACAUAUUAAUGCGUGUAUACGUCCAAGUAGCGAGCAACAAUAUUCGAUAGUUACACGUGUGACUGGGACUUUUGUGCGACGACGAGUGUAGCACGACUCCGCUCCUAACGCAAAUGUCCUACUUCAAUAUUUACUUGGUGGGGGAACAUUGAAGCUUAUUACUACCUAGACAGGUAGAAAGUGAGCAUCGUGACGCUACAAGCACGUUAUUAAUUGUUGGUCACCCGCCGAUGCCUGUCGGUCGAAUUUAUGUGCAUGCGAUACGUAUUCCGCUCGAGACUUGCGCUGAUAUUUCCAAAUUUGAUUUUCUUGUGAUUAAUAAUAAACAUAAUUAACAUAAGACGAUGUAAACAUUGUCGGAAUAUAGCUCCGACUGGCCGAAGUUGGCCGAUAUGACAGAAACCGAUAUAUCUGUCAUGGAAAACGACACACGAUAAGAAAUUUGCAAAGCUGAACACGCCUAUUCGAAGCAAUCCGCACGUCGUCAUGCGCUGUGUAGUCACGUGCUCAGUCAUUAAGUAAAAUGUAAAUUACUACCGCAAAUGUACAUUUCUGCAUGUACUCUUGGAUCAGUUUACUAAAAGAACUAUAUAUAUGUCAAGGAGAAAAAUAUAUUACUAUAUAUAUAUAUAUACACUGCACGCGGCACUUGAGUUCAGAUUUUAAUGUUAAGAAUAAAUAUUAGUUUCCCAGUAAUAUAUUUCUCCUUCGCAUUGUCGUGGCACGACUUGCGAGUACUCACGAGACUGGCAACCUCGCAAUAAUCAGCGGUUA